AGGAGCAUGGUGGGCAGGAGGAAGGCACGGCCAUUGGGCAGCCUUCUCAGCAGGACUGUCCAUCGUGGUAACAAUAGCAAGUGCGAUGGCAAGAGGAAGCCAGUGGAUGAACCACCCUCCCACCCAGGCAGUGUCCCACCUGUCCCGGGACCCCUUCUGACCAGCGAAGGACACCACAUCACAGGAAAGGAAAGGAGAAAACCACUUCAGCUCUUUCCAAGAAGCAGAGGUGCCCACAGCAAACACGCCCUUGCCCUCUCCACCCGGCCCCGCCACUGCACCCCCCAGGAGGGAGGUGACCCUAGAACCCUUUUACUCAAGACCCCGGUGACGGCUGUUGGGAAAGUCACGGAGCCACAGCAGGCACCCCUGGCAGAUGCCCACUCUGAACCCAAGGCCCUAUCCGCUGUUCUCC